AGUGCAGAAAAUAUAAUCAAAAUCUGAGCCCCGAAUCCGCUGCUCGGUCAUAAUAUUAAUCAUUUUUCGUUUAGACUUUUGUGUGAAGUGAUAAAACAGCGUGUGUUAAGUGUGAAACUGUGGACAUUGUAUUUUUUUUUGUACCCCAAAGACGCCCACUAAGCCUGCAACCACCAAUGACGAUGUCGCUUAGAACAAUGUUUCUUCGACAUAUUAUUAUAUGAGAUACGACGUGCCUCUUCAUGUGUGCUAUGACGUUUAGCCCACAAAAGUGUAAGCAAGUAAUUUUAACAGUAGGUAAGUAAGUAAAGCAACUACCUACAGGCUACCAGAAGUAGAAAAGCGAAUAAAAAUAACGCAUUAAAAUCAAUAAACAAAAUCUCGUAGCGAAUGGAUUCGUUUUCCUUGAACAUUAAGAGUUAAUGAAAUUGUGUGGUGAGGUAUAUAAGUGGAGUGGUAGCCGUGAUAGCUGAACAGGUUGUUCGGUAGCAUCAUGAAGUGGCUAGCGUUACUUUGUCUGAUCCUCAGCGUGAUGCUAGUUAUGGCUGACGACCAGUCCCAAGAGUUACGGGGUGGCACUGACUACACCAGCAGGUAUGCCGAGCUGGCGUCUCCUGUCCCCUCUCAUGUCAAUGUCCAGGACCUACUGGCUUCCUUGGCAGCAGCUGGACGCCACUAAACAGCACCAGUAAACCAGCAUAACUCCUGAAAACUAUCAACUUGUUCCUAAAAUUAGAAUUUUCAACGGUUUUUGAGUUUACGACCACAACUUCUUAAGUAAUACCAAUCGCUUUUCAAAAUGUUUGCCAGUUGUAUUCAUGUUUUAAAAUAACGCAUUUAUUUCAAUAUCCAUUUAAGAAUUAUCAGUAAUGUGGUCAUAUCAUUGGCAUUACCCACUAAUGCCGCAUUUUAAUUGGAAUUAUUAUUCAUAAUUUUGUACUAUUGAUUAGUUUAUUUAAUUUAUGAUCGUGUUAAUUGAUCAAAAGUGUGGACCGCUUCGAAUCUGUAUGUAUUUGUAUAUUAUAGUAUAAGUUCGCUCGUC
rnacentral:lncRNA from 1 species